AUAGUACUCUCUCCGUCCAAAAAUACUUGUCAUCAAAAUAAAAAAAUGAAUGUAUCUAUAACUAAAAUACAUCUAGAUACACCCCCUUCUAUUCAUUUUGAUGACGAGUAUUUUCGGAUGGAGGGAGUAUUAA
rfam:Triticum aestivum genome assembly, contig: Triticum_aestivum_CS42_TGACv1_scaffold_229900_3B